ensembl:snoRNA small nucleolar RNA Z40
UGUCGUUAUGAUGAUUGGCUUUAUGUUCAACUGCUCUGAUGUGUGAUUGAUAGAUGCCUCUCUGAACCAUC